AUGGAGCAGGAACAAGUGCUGGUGGUGCCUCAGGUGUCCGGUAACAGCUGCUGCACCUGUAGCAACACGAGCUCCGGCUCCCUGAACGCGUCGUCUCCGAGCUCCGACGACAGCAGCGCUGUCGCCGCGGGCAAGAAGCGGCCGCGCAGGGACCUGAAGCACCCGACGUACCGCGGCGUGCGCAUGCGCACCUGGGGCAAGUGGGUGUCCGAGAUCAGGGAGCCCCGCAAGAAGUCCCGCAUCUGGCUCGGCACCUUCGACACCGCCGAGAUGGCCGCGCGCGCGCACGACGUCGCCGCCAUCGCCAUCAAGGGCCGCGCCGCGCACCUCAACUUCCCGGGCCUCGCGCACGAGCUGCCCCGCGCGGCCUCGGCCGCGCCCAAGGACGUCCAGGCCGCCGCCGCGCUCGCCGCGGCCACGCCGUCGCCCGUCGACGCGCUCUCGCCCGACACCAUUGCUGCGAAGGAGCAGGAGGAGGAGAUUGAGGAGGUUUCGGAGCCGGCAGCCCCCGAGCAGGCACCAUCGCCGGAUUGUCUGUUGAUCGAGAAUGCAGGACCCGAAUAUGGCGGCAUUGGGCUCGACUACGCGUUUCUCGACGUGCCGGACUUCCUCCUUGAGUUCGGGCUCGCGUCGCCGGAACCGCCGUCCUACUGCGGUUCGCCGUGGGAUGACCUCGACGACAAUCUCUUCUUCGGGGAACCGUUGCUGCUCUGGGAGCACUGA
rnacentral:rRNA from 1 species